rnacentral:rRNA from 1 species
UACGGGGGGGGUAAGCGUUGUUCGGAAUUACUGGGCGUAAAGGGCUCGUAGGCGGCCAACUAAGUCGGACGUGAAAUCCCUCAGCUUAACUGGGGAACUGCGUCCGAUACUGGAUGGCUUGGAUUUGGGAGAGGGAUGCGGAAUUCCAGGUGUAGCGGUGAAAUGCGUAGAUAUCGGGAAGAACAUCGGUGGCGAAAGCGCUCUGCUGGACUGCAACUGACACUCAGGGACGAAAGCUAGGGGAGCGAAUGGG